rnacentral:rRNA from 1 species
AGCAGCGAACGGGUGAGUAACACGUAGGAAUCUGCCCCAAAGUUCGGAAUAGCCCGGUGAAAGCCGGGGUAAUACCGGAUGUGAUCUUCGGAUUAAAGGCUUCGGUCGCUUUGGGAUGAGCCUGCGUUCCAUCAGCUUGUUGGUAGGGUAAAAGCCUACCAAGGCUAAGACGGAUAGCUGGUCUGAGAGGACGGUCAGCCACAAUGGAACUGAGACACGGUCCAUACACCUACGGGUGGCAGCAGUCGAGAAUCAUUCACAAUGGACGAAAGUCUGAUGGUGCGACGCCGCGUGGGGGAUGAAGGCCCUAGGGUCGUAAACCCCUGUCGGUUGCGAGUAAGGCCCAGCUUACGCUGGGAUUGAUAUUAGCAACAAAGGAGGGGACGGCUAACUCCGUGCCAGCAGCCGCGGUAAUACGGAGGUCCCAAGCGUUGUUCGGAUUCACUGGGCGUAAAGCGUGCGUAGGCGGAGAGAUAAGUUUGGCGUGAAAGCCCCGGGCCCAACCCGGAAAUUGCGCUGAAAACUAUUUCCCUAGAGGAUUGGAGGGGAGACUGGAAUUCCUGGUGUAGCAGUGAAAUGCGUAGAUAUCAGGAGGAACACCGGUGGCGAAGGCGAGUCUCUGGACAAUUCCUGACGCUGGGGUGCGAAGGCUAGGGUAGCGAAAAGGAUUAGAUACCCUUGUAGUCCUAGCAGUAAACGGUGUGCACUUGCUGUAGGCGGAUUCGACCCCGUCUGUGGCGAAGCUAACGCGUUAAGUGCACCGCCUGGGGAGUAC